rnacentral:lncRNA from 1 species
UGAGUGACGAGGUAAGAAAUAAAGAUUUAAUCUAUUAUAAUAAGAGGAAACUUUAAAUACCCUUUCCGUGGUUUCGUACUUUCUCACUUUAGUAUCAUGUAUUUUAAAUUGUAUAAAGUUAGUACUAUGUGGUUUCGUACUUUCUCUCACUUUAGUAUCCUGUGGUUUCAAGUGUAUCAAGUUAGUACCCUGUGGUUUCGCACUCUCUCACUUUAGUAUUCUGUGGUUUAAUAUUUCGUUAAAUUAUAUACCCUGAAAUGAAUAAUAAAAAGAGAAAUUUGAUAUCACAGGAUACUAACUUGAUACAAAAAUAAAACCACAGGCUACUAGAUAUAUUUGAAACCAUAGGAUACUAAAGUGAGAAAGUGUGAAACCAUAUGUACUAACUUGAUACACUUUAAACCACAGGGUACUAAAAUAAAAAAGUGCAAAACCAAAAGGGGGUAUUUGAAGUUUACCAUUAUAAU